GCCCUGUUCGUCCAGUGGUUAGGACCCUGCAUUGUGGUUGCGGAAACCGUAGUUCGAUUCUACGACAGGGCA
rfam:Fragilariopsis cylindrus CCMP1102 unplaced genomic scaffold FRACYscaffold_31, whole genome shotgun sequence.